GUACACUCCUGCGGGAGGCAGCAGUGGGGAAUUUUGAACAAUGGGCGAAAGCCUGAUCCAGCAAUGCCGCGUGAGUGAAGAAGGCCUUCGGGUUGUAAAGCUCUUUUGUCAGGGAAGAAACGGUGAAAGCUAAUAUCUUUUGCUAAUGACGGUACCUGAAGAAUAAGCACCGGCUAACUACGUGCCAGCAGCCGCGGUAAUACGUAGGGUGCAAGCGUUAAUCGGAAUUACUGGGCGUAAAGCGUGCGCAGGCGGUUUUGUAAGUCUGAUGUGAAAUCCCCGGGCUCAACCUGGGAAUUGCAUUGGAGACUGCAAGGCUAGAAUCUGGCAGAGGGGGGUAGAAUUCCACGUGUAGCAGUGAAAUGCGUAGAUAUGUGGAGGAACACCGAUGGCGAAGGCAGCCCCCUGGGUCAAGAUUGACGCUCAUGCACGAAAGCGUGGGGAGCAAACAGGAUUAGAAACCCUAGUAGUCCCAUG
rnacentral:rRNA from 1 species